rnacentral:ncRNA from 2 species
AAUUUCCUUCGGGGUCGGGUGAAAUUCCCAAUCGACGGUGAUGAGUUAAUCUCUAAGCCCGUGAGCCACUUUUUUGUGUGCAGGAUUUUGGUGCAAAUCCAAAGCCGACAGUUAUAGUCUGGAUGGGAGAAGGAAUGG